rnacentral:ncRNA from 1 species
UGUGAUAGAGGCGCAUUGAUUAUCAGUACACUACGGGAUAUGUCAGGACAUAGGAGAACGUGGCGGAAAGGAUGAGAUGCCGAAGCUUGCAGUUGCCUGAAGGCUGCAUGCUGGGGCCGGGGUUAACAGCUCCGGAACUGUCAUCAUUUAUUUGAUGGAGGGCUAUCGA